rnacentral:rRNA from 1 species
UACGUAGGGUGCAAGCGUUAUCCGGAAUUAUUGGGCGUAAAGAGCUCGUAGGCGGUUUGUCGCGUCUGCUGUGAAAACUGGAGGCUCAACCUCCAGCCUGCAGUGGGUACGGGCAGACUAGAGUGCGGUAGGGGAGAUUGGAAUUCCUGGUGUAGCGGUGGAAUGCGCAGAUAUCAGGAGGAACACCGAUGGCGAAGGCAGAUCUCUGGCCGUAACUGACGCUGAGGAGCGAAAGCAUGGGGAGCGAACAGG